rnacentral:rRNA from 1 species
UUUAAGGUUUAAUCUGCCCAAUGAGGUAUUAAAUGGCCGCGGUAUUUUGACCGUGCAAAGGUAGCAUAAUAAUUAGUUUUNUAAUUGGAAGCUGGAAUGAAUGAUUGGACGAGAAAAUAUCUGUCUCAGAAUAAUUUAUUUUGAAUUUUAUUUUUAAGUAAAAAAGCUUAAAUUUUUUUAAAAGACGAGAAGACCCUAUAGAGUUUAAUAAAAUAUUUUAUUUUAUUUAAUAGGAAUUUUAUAUUAAAAUAUUUUUUUUUUAUUUUGUUGGGGUGAUAGAAAAAUUUAAUUAACUUUUUUUUAAAAAAAACAUUAAUUUAUGAUUUUAUGAUCCAUAAUUUUUGAUUAUAAGAUUAAAUUACCUUAGGGAUAACAGCGUAAUUUUUUUUUAGAGUUCUUAUCGAAAAAAGAGUUUGCGACCUCGAUGUUGGAUUAAAAUAAAUAUUUGGUGUAGAAGCUUGAUAAUUAGGUCUGUUCGACCUUUAAAAUUUUACA